GAUGAACGCUGGCGGCGUGCCUAAUACAUGCAAGUCGAGCGAACGGACGAGAAGCUUGCUUCUCUGAUGUUAGCGGCGGACGGGUGAGUAACACGUGGAUAACCUACCUAUAAGACUGGGAUAACUUCGGGAAACCGGAGCUAAUACCGGAUAAUAUUUUGAACCGCAUGGUUCAAAAGUGAAGGACGGUCUUGAUGUCACUUAUAGAUGGAUCCGCGCUGCAUUAGCUAGUUGGUAAGGUAACGGCUUACCAAGGCAACGAUGCAUAGCCGACCUGAGAGGGUGAUCGGCCACCCUGGAACUGAGACACGGUCCAGACUCCUACGGGAGGCAGCAGUAGGGAAUCUUCCGCAAUGGGCGAAAGCCUGACGGAGCAACGCCGCGUGAGUGAUGAAGGUCCUCGGAUCGUAAAGCUCUGUUAUUAGGGAAGAACAUAUGUGUAAGUAACUGUGCACAUCUUGACGGUACCUAAUCAGAAAGCCACGGCUAACUACGUG
rnacentral:rRNA from 1 species